CAUUUAUCAGGCUACCAUGCAGUCGAGCGGUAGCACAGAGAGCUUGCUCUCGGGUGACGAGCGGCGGACGGGUGAGUAAUGUCUGGGAAACUGCCUGAUGGAGGGGGAUAACUACUGGAAACGGUAGCUAAUACCGCAUAACGUCGCAAGACCAAAGUGGGGGACCUUCGGGCCUCAUGCCAUCAGAUGUGCCCAGAUGGGAUUAGCUAGUAGGUGGGGUAACGGCUCACCUAGGCGACGAUCCCUAGCUGGUCUGAGAGGAUGACCAGCCACACUGGAACUGAGACACGGUCCAGACUCCUACGGGAGGCAGCAGUGGGGAAUAUUGCACAAUGGGCGCAAGCCUGAUGCAGCCAUGCCGCGUGUAUGAAGAAGGCCUUCGGGUUGUAAAGUACUUUCAGCGGGGAGGAAGGCGAUAAGGUUAAUAACCUUGUCGAUUGACGUUACCCGCAGAAGAAGCACCGGCUAACUCCGUGCCAGCAGCCGCGGUAAUACGGAGGGUGCAAGCGUUAAUCGGAAUUACUGGGCGUAAAGCGCACGCAGGCGGUCUGUCAAGUCGGAUGUGAAAUCCCCGGGCUCAACCUGGGAACUGCAUUCGAAACUGGCAGGCUAGAGUCUUGUAGAGGGGGGUAGAAUUCCAGGUGUAGCGGUGAAAUGCGUAGAGAUCUGGAGGAAUACCGGUGGCGAAGGCGGCCCCCUGGACAAAGACUGACGCUCAGGUGCGAAAGCGUGGGGAGCAAACAGGAUUAGAUACCCUGGUAGUCCACGCCGUAAACGAUGUCGAUUUGGAGGUUGUGCCCUUGAGGCGUGGCUUCCGGAGCUAACGCGUUAAAUCGACCGCCUGGGGAGUACGGCCGCAAGGUUAAAACUCAAAUGAAUUGACGGGGGCCCGCACAAGCGGUGGAGCAUGUGGUUUAAUUCGAUGCAACGCGAAGAACCUUACCUGGUCUUGACAUCCACAGAACUUGCCAGAGAUGGCCUUGGUGCCUUCGGGAACUGUGAGACAGGUGCUGCAUGGCUGUCGUCAGCUCGUGUUGUGAAAUGUUGGGUUAAGUCCCGCACGAGCGCACCCUUAUCCUUUGUGCCAGCGGUCAGCGGCACUCAAGAGACUGCAGUGAUAACUGGAGAAGGUGGGGAUGACGUCAGUCAUCAUGGCCCCUUACGACCAG
rnacentral:rRNA from 1 species